rnacentral:lncRNA from 1 species
UGCUAAUAGUAAGCAGACUGCUGUAAAAUGUGCUGGGACUUUGACUUAAAGGAAGAAAGCACAGCACUGUACUGCCCCUGAUUGGGAAGCUGGAGCACCAAAGAACUCAAGAUCAAAAAUGCUGAAGAUUGGAAACGUCCCAAUAUACUCCUUCUGUCACAUCUACGUUGUUGGACUGUUUUUACCUCCUCACUAAAGAUGGUCAGAGAUGAAGCCAAAUACAAGCAUGAGAGGAAGUUCUAGAGUUGAGAAGCAAAAUUACAUGGCAGAGGAGAAAGAUUCCUUCACCUGUUCUGUCAGAUGAAUCAAUGUGCAGCAGCACUGUCUGGAGGAAUUCCCUUAUGCUUGUAAAUUGCAAACGACUGGAGCUACCCAACACAGUCAUCUGCCUGCUUGAUACCUGAAAUUACUCAUUUGGAUAAUUC